rfam:Ricinus communis cultivar Hale ctg_1100012362104, whole genome shotgun sequence.
AGUCCAUGGUAUGGACAGCGUCUAAGUAGGUCCUUGUAUCUCUCCCAGGUGUCAUACAUCGACUCAUCGUCAAACUACAAACAAGAAGAUAUGUCAUUUCUAAGUUU